rnacentral:rRNA from 1 species
GAUGAACGCUGGCGGCGUGCCUAAUACAUGCAAGUCGAGCGAACAGACGAGGAGCUUGUUCCUCUGACGUUAGCGGCGGACGGGUGAGUAACACGUGGAUAACCUACCUAUAAGACUGGGAUAACUUCGGGAAACCGGAUCUAAUACCGGAUAAUAUAUUGAACCGCAUGGUUUAAUAGUGAAAGACGGUUUUGCUGUGACUUAUAGAUGGAUCCGCGCCGUAUUAGCUAGUUGGUAAGGUAACGGCUUACCAAGGCAACGAUGCGUAGCUGACCUGAGAGGGUGAUCGGCCACACUGGAACUGAGACACGGUCCAUACUCCUACGAGAGGCACCAGUAGAGAAUCUUACGCAAUGGGCGAAAACCUGACGCAACAACGCCGCGUGAGUGAUGAAGGUCUUCGGAUCGUAAAACUCUGUUAUUAGGUAAGAACAAAUGUGUAAGUAACUAUACACGUCUUGACGGUACCUAAUCAGAAAGCCACGGCUAACUACGUG